rnacentral:rRNA from 1 species
GAUGAGCGCUGGCGGCGUGCCUAAUACAUGCAAGUCGAGCGAACAGACGAGGAGCUUGCUCCUCUGACGUUAGCGGCGGACGGGUGAGUAACACGUGGAUAACCUACCUAUAAGACUGGGAUAACUUCGGGAAACCGGAGCUAAUACCGGAUAAUAUAUUGAACCGCAUGGUUCAAUAGUGAAAGACGGUUUUGCUGUCACUUAUAGAUGGAUCCGCGCCGCAUUAGCUAGUUGGUAAGGUAACGGCUUACCAAGGCAACGAUGCGUAGCCGACCUGAGAGGGUGAUCGGCCACACUGGAACUGAGACACGGUCCAGACUCCUACGGGAGGCAGCAGUAGGGAAUCUUCCGCAAUGGGCGAAAGCCUGACGGAGCAACGCCGCGUGAGUGAUGAAGGUCUUCGGAUCGUAAAACUCUGUUAUUAAGGAAGAACAAAUGUGUAAGUAACUAUGCACGUCUUGACGGUACCUAAUCAGAAAGCCACGGCUAACUACGUG